rnacentral:rRNA from 1 species
UUGUAGCUUGCUAUGGUAUAACUUAGUGGCAGACGGGUGAGUAAUGUAUAGGAAUCUACCUAGUAGUACGGAAUAAUUGUUGGAAACGGCAACUAAUACCGUAUACGCCCUACGGGGGAAAGAUUUAUUGCUAUUAGAUGAGCCUAUAUUAGAUUAGCUAGUUGGUAAGGUAAUGGCUUACCAAGGCAAUGAUCUAUAGCUGAUCUGAGAGGAUGAUCAGCCACACUGGAACUGAGAUACGGUCCAGACUCCUACGGGAGGCAGCAGUGGGGAAUAUUGGACAAUGGGCGAAAGCCUGAUCCAGCCAUGCCGCAUGAGUGAAGAAGGCCUUUGGGUUGUAAAGCUCUUUCGGUGAGGAAGAUAAUGACGGUACUCACAGAAGAAGUCCUGGCUAACUCCGUGCCAGCAGCCGCGGUAAUACGGAGAGGGCUAGCGUUAUUCGGAAUUAUUGGGCGUAAAGAGCGCGUAGGCUGGUUAGUAAGUUAAAAGUGAAAUCCCAAAGCUCAACUUUGGAAUUGCUUUUAAAACUGCUAACCUAGAGAUUGAAAGAGGAUAGAGGAAUUCCUAGUGUAGAGGUGAAAUUCGUAAAUAUUAGGAGGAACACCAGUGGCGAAGGCGUCUAUCUGGUUCAAAUCUGACGCUGAGGCGCGAAGGCGUGGGGAGCAAACAGGAUUAGAUACCCUGGUAGUCCACGCUGUAAACGAUGAAUGUUAAAUAUGGGAAGUUUACUUUCUGUAUUACAGCUAACGCGUUAAACAUUCCGCCUGGGGACUACGGUCGCAAGAUUAAAACUCAAAGGAAUUGACGGGGACCCGCACAAGCGGUGGAGCAUGUGGUUUAAUUCGAUGCAACGCGAAAAACCUUACCACUCCUUGACAUGGAAAUCAUACCUAUUC